rnacentral:lncRNA from 1 species
AGCUGGGCAUUUCCGCUCCGUGGUCCGGGCGCGCUCCUCGUGAUUCCCCCGACCGCUGCAGGUGAGGCGCCGAGGCGGGCUGGGACUGGGAGCCUGGGGGCGGCUUAGGGACUCUGUCACCAGCCAGCGAAUGUCCGCUAGCGUCCCGGCGUAUGGGUCUGCCUGGCGGAACGCGCUGGGCGGAGCGCGCAUUUGACCCCCCACCCCCACCCCGGAAAGCUGCCCGGGCGGCCCGUGCUGUGACUGCUACCGGAGCGGAGCUGAUGCUUGCUCUCGCGGGACAGACAGCUCCAACAGGUAGCUUAAGAUCCUAAGGGAAUGUGGCUAGCGGUUUUCAAAAGAAAUGUUUUUUUAAUUUUACUUUAGGAGUCACUUAUGUGUGAAGAGUCCAAAACCUGAAAAAGAAUCCUAAACCAACUUCUGUUGGUCCGUUUCACAUCUGGAUUUCCUUUGGAACCAGUAGUAAAACGCCUGGAACUUUGGCGAUCCAUCCCUUUGAUUCUAUCCGUGGUUAUUAUUGCUGUUUAACUCUAAUCAACGAGUUAUAACGUUACAGCCUCGCUUAAAACCCAUUUGAGGUGUGCGUGUAUUUUAACUUAGCUUAACUCCAAGCUCAUUUAUUUAUGUUAAAAGAUUUCUUCUAAUUGAAGUCUUUCUCCUGGUCUGUUUCCUGUAACUGAAGUGCUUGCUAAGUGAGGAACUCUGCAGUUUGGCCUCAUUUUCCUGAACCUUCUCUGAGAAGUCCCUGAGUAAGCAGGCCAGACUUCAACAAUAGAGGGCAUUUUUCUCUAAAAGCUAGUUUGCAAAGUUAAUUGGUGGAUUUUUUUUUUUUUUGUACUGAACCUUUUAUUUAAACUAGUGAACUUACAAACCAUGUCCUUAGCAUGCAAAAGGCCCAAGAUUGGCUCUCCAGCACUGGAAAAUAAGCAGACCAAGUUGGGAUUAGGAAUGUGGCUCAGUGGUAGAAUUCACCCUUCUGUGUGAAGUGGUGAGCUGGACUGACGUCUGUCUGUGGUGGUCAUUAGUGGAUGGCAGUGUGUGGUACAGAACCAAAACCAAAACCAAAACCCUGCAAAGGUUAAUUUUUUUUAAGUACAGGAUCAAGCCAGGUGUGGUGGCUUAUGUCUGUGAUUCCAGCACUCAGAACGCUAAAGCAGACCAUCCUGGGAUAUGCAAGAUCUUACAUCAAAAAAAUAUCAAAACCAAAACAAAUAAAAGUUUCUUCUUUAUCUAGUAAGAACUUUUGAGAGCUCCAGUUCUGUCUGUCAAAGCUUGAAAAGGAGUCAUGGGAUGACUCUUUAUUGGCCUUGGCCAGGGUCUUGUUAGGGGAGAGGACCCUCUGCCCUACAGACUAGUGCUGUCAUGUUUGAAGAGGGACAUGGUCCAUGGGAAGGUAGCAAUAGGAAGACGACAUCAAAUGAUCUUAGCAGCCUUCUCUAGAACAUUCCCCAUCUGAAGCCAGUAAAUACUGGAAAUUUUAUUUGGAGACUCUGAGCUAACAAUAACCACCCAGCAUCUUGACUAACACUCAUCCUUCAGUCAAAGGCUUCCCUGUAUUGUCCCACCCCUAUAGCCAUGGGUAUCUAUCUCCCCUCUUUGUCCUAGUGGUAUGCUUGCUGGGCAUCUGUUUCACCUGUUUCAAUGCCACAUUAUUUGGUAAUUUUUAUGUGCUAUUGACUCUUUGCUGGACUUCAGACUCCAGCUAGAUAAGAACUACCCUAUGUUGUUCAUUCCUGUUGACCCUAGUGCCUUCUACAUAGCCACAGAGUAGGAAAAAGUAACAUUUUGAGAUAGGCUUAGUGAGAGUUGAAGAGGAACCAACCAGACAUUGUGCAUUUGUUCAAAUAAUUACAUCUGCUUUAUAAGAAUAGAAAAUGGUUUGUCCACAUUUCUAGGGUAUACUUGACAGAGAAUACCCAGCCACUGCCAGUAUGACAAUGUGUCCUGAACAUCAGCUUCCUAAGGCAAGAAGCUAGUAGAUGUGCUGGGUGUGCCACUCUCUGGUUGGCUGUGACAUACUGUUGGAUAUAUUGGCUUCCAGAAGCUGAGUUGUCUGCCAUCCCUUACUAGAAUCUCUGGUCACUUUCCCCGUAUGCUAACUGGCAAAUGUCUCAAGCAAAUUCUGAACUCCAGUGGCCCUAGUGUCAGUACAUAGGUUGAGCAUUCCUAAUACAGAAAUUUGUUAUGCUCUGAAAUCCAAAACUUUCCUAAGUGACAAAAGUGUUGGAUUUCACACUGUUUGUAUUUCAGGUUUUUAUGUUAGAAAUGCUUGACAUUAACUCUUCAAUUAAGUCACCCCAAAAUCUGAAAACUUCCAGCAUCUAAAUAAUUUCUGGUCCCAUGGGUUUCAGGUAAGGGCUACUCAGUCUGUUGUUGUUGUGUGGUCUUUGACUGUAACAAAAUCACUAGUGACAAAUGGAUAGAUACCAGACAUGGUGUUCACCAUGUGGUUGCAGAACGUCUUUGAGUGGCUGUUGUGAGCAAUGCUGUGAAGGAAUGGGGGACAGGGAGCCCCAUCACUUACAGUACCAUUAUUACUGCCAAAAGGAUUUUAUAGAAUUUAUUUUAUGAGCACAAAAAGUUAAAUUAUCAAGAACAUCAGUUACAAGCCAGGCGUCAUUAACACACACCUAUAAUCCCAGCAUGUGGGAGGUGGGGGCAGAGGGAUCAGGAGUUCAAGGUCAGUCUUGGCUAAAUAGUGAAUUUGAGGUCAGCCAACUGCAAAAGACCUUGUCUGAUAAAAACAAAAGUAGAGCAACUAUAAAACUGUUAAGUAGGAAACCAAUGUAUGGAUUUCUUGUGUUGAUGAGUAAAUUAAAAAGGAAUUAGCAUUUACCAGAGACAGCUAUAUGCCAGACAUGAUUAUAUCUGGGAUGCAUUCUGUUACUUGGUUCAGUUUAUUCUGUGAUUUACCCUUCUUUCAGAUGGAAAUGGACAGUAUUUGAGGGCUAGAGUCUCACUUAUUUUCUUCACAUGAAAGUCAUUAUUUGCCCUUUUUUUCAGUGCUAUAACUGAAGUUCAGAAAGAUGGGAUGCUUGAACCAUGGACAGGCACUCAGACAAACAGUUGGCUUUUCUUGAGUGUAAAGUGCAGUGCAGCUUGUUCAAAAGUCUGUGUUCUUCUGUUUUCUUUAGUUAUUUUGAUGCAGGGUCUUUAACUUGUUUUCUAGGCUGGCCUGGACCUUUCAGUCCUCCUGACUUGGGUUCUCAAGUGCUGUGACUCAGACAUGCCUUAUCACACCAGGUGUUUGUUCUUGUGUCUACCCCGCACUGGCUCCUGCUGCCAGAGUAACACUAAGCACGUCUGAUCUGAAGGACAUUGGUACACUCCUGGGAAAUUGUGUUGUCAUAAUAAAUUAUAAGUAGAAGACAUUGUAUUACGUAGUGGCUCUUGUCAUGUUCGUUGCAGACAUGGGUGAUUUAUCUGAGUCACAUUGCAAGGCUUGAUCAGAAUUUACCCACUCCCACAGGUGGUUUUUCUACGAAGACUCCUGUACCUCCCUAUAUUUUGAUUCCCUAUUUGCAUCUUUUUUCCUUCUUCCUGCCUGCCUGUUGGACCAGCAUAGUUAUAAUCAUUGCUGGACUUUGUUCUGUCUGUAAUCAAACUAAAGCUGGGAGCUGCUCCCAGCUUUCACAUAGGCAAAGGGGCAAAGUUUUGGAGGCUGAAAACUGUUGGAGGGAGUGGCCUUUAUUGUUUGAAUAAUCUUGUGGUGAUGAAAAUAAUGAUAUUUUAAAGGGCAAAUACAUACUAAACUUG